rnacentral:rRNA from 1 species
GAUGAACGCUAGCUACAGGCUUAACACAUGCAAGUCGAGGGGCAGCGGUAUCGAAAGCUUGCUUUCGGUAGCCGGCGACCGGCGCACGGGUGAGUAACGCGUAUCGAACCUGCCUCAUACUCGGGAAUAGCCUUGCGAAAGUAAGAUUAAUGCCCGGUGUUUUCAGAGUCCCGCAUGAGGCUUUGAACAAAGAUUUAUCGGUAUGAGAUGGCGAUGCGUCCCAUUAGCUUGUUGGCGGGGUAACGGCCCACCAAGGCAUCGAUGGGUAGGGGUUCGAAGAGGAAGGGCCCCCACAUUGGAACUGGGACACGGUCCAAACUACUGCGGGAGGCAGCAGUGAGGAAUAUUGGUCAAUGGGCGGAAGCCUGAACCAGCCAAGUAGCGUGCAGGAAGACGGCCCUCCGGGUUGUAAACUGCUUUUAGUUGGGAAUAAAACGGGGCUCGUGAGCCCCCUUGCAUGUACCAUCAGAAAAAGGACCGGCUAAUUCCGUGCCAGCCGCCGCCGUAA